GGUGCAUAGACUGGAUAUAAUUUUUUUCGUUAGUUUUCAUGGUCAAAAUGAGAGAUCAGGUGAUCGAUCUUAAAAUAAAUCAAUACUGAAUUUUUUAUAGAGCGUUAAAGUUUUGCGAAGCCAGGGGGCGGGACUACUUGAUUGACAGUCCGGUCUGGAAUGAUUGACAGGUCCUAUGGAGGAGGCAGCAGAGACUCCGCUCUCCUCGUUUGGAUUAAUUCUGAUAUAAUAACUGUUGGUUUAUGUAUCGGUGGAGCAGCAGAACAUUUUCCACAGACAGUUUUCCUGUCCGUUGGCUUGUUUUAACCAGUUUUCUACCUUCAGCUGAUUCUACCAGCAGACACUGAAAGGACUCUGAUAGUUCGGAUGAGGAGGACAUCAGUGCUGCUCUUCCUCACAGUGAUGAAGGAGAAAAGACUCUUCAGACAACCACAGCUGGAUGUUCAUGUUCUCUGGAGCUCUCAGUCCAUCAGACCAGAUGUUCCCAAUCCAGACCAAGGCUGGAAGGAAAAGACACUAACAUUGAGGCUAAAGAACCACAUAAUAAUCUAUGGGGGGCGAUGCUAUCCAAGCAAGCUAACCAGUCCUCAGCUCCAGAGACGGCAGACGGGACGAGUCAACGGAGGCCGGGUGGACGAAGGCAUACAGCUGAGUACAAUCCAGAAAACAAAAGAGGAGGAUUGCAGCAGCCCAGAGCCAGAACAACCAGAGUAGCAUCGUAUGUCUCUUAGAAAACAUCAUAGUCUAGCCUUUGGGAUGAAAAAACGCCAUCAUAUACAUCGUAUAUUGUACAAAUAACAAGUCAAAGGAAAGAGACAUACAUUGUAGAAUUGUAGUAAUUGUGGGCUGACUGAUUUACUGAUUAUCAGGUUUUUAUUUUUUACUGAUUUACGGUAAUAAAUACAUUUAAAAAUGGUGCUACUUUGGCUCUGAACCUUUAUCUACCUGUGGUUGCUCUGUCUUCUGGAGUGAUUUGAUUGGUUAUAUGUCACGAAUAAAACUCUUAACAUCUGUAAACAAAACAAAAACGUAUCAACAAAGUUUUCUGUUGGUUUGUGUUCUUCUAAGUUUAACUCCAAGAUUUUAAAUACUUUCAUUUACUACAAAUGAAUAUCUACUCUAAAUGUCUCACUAAUAAUCAUUAUCAGCCUUAAAAACCCACAAAACACCCCUCUAUACUGGACCACACUUAGUACAGUCCAGUUCCCCCUUCUAUAAAUCUGCUUGGAAUCUUCCACUUCCUGUUUGUCAAAGUGGCCUUCUACCUGGACAGGUUUUGUUGGCGCUCAUGCAACAAACAUUUUGGGUAACUGCACUUUAAUAUGGAUGGAUGACACUGAAUUAGAGUCUGUUUUAAUGAGACUGAGUUAAGAUGUGUAGCUCUGUCAUUAAAUAGGAAAUUAUUUCUCAGAAUUCACAGAGAAAAGUCUGAAAUGUUUGCUAGGUUAGCAUCCCACGUGUUCUUUGGCUCAGCUAAAGCUAACUCUCUCCAACUUCUGGAUCUCUUGAGUUGCUUGUUGUUAAAAUAUCUUGCUAGAGGUGCUGAAGCUCAGAAAGUCUGAGAUGUUUGUUCAGAAUAAGCUCAUUCUCAAGUCUUAUCUGAACUGUCCUCUUUUGUUUGAACUUUCCCUAAACUUAGGAGUUAAUGACUGAGCAGCACAUCCAGACUCAGUCUCAUUUAUGUAGAGGUUAAACUUCAGUGUCAUUCAUUGAUGUUAAAGUGCAGUUUUUCAAAUGUUUGUUGCACAUGCUCCCGACCAAAGCAGUCCAGGUGGAAGACGAUGUGAAGAGAAAGCUCCAGAGGAUGAAUAUCACACAUUUACGUUGGAAAUAAAUGUCCUUUAAUGAGACAUUGUCAUGCAAAAGUUGGAUUUCCCUUUACCGAUGUUCAAAUCUUUGUUGAGUGUUUUGUUGAUGUUGGUUUCUAAAUGUUUUUUGACACUCGGCCCCAAAGAUUAAAACCUUUACGGCUCACAAGCUGCAACAAUUCACACAUUAUCAACUAUCUUUCUGACUAAACUAAGAUAAAAAGUGAAAAACUGCCUGAUUCCUGCAUCAUGAAUGUAAAUCUUUUUGGUUUUUAUGACAGUAAACUGAAUAUAUUUGGGUUUGAUAUUUUACCAAAACAAGAAAUGAAUUAGUGGAGAAAACAGUCAACAGAUUAAUGGACAAAGAAAAUGUGUUUUCCAACAUAUAUGGCUGAAUUAUUCCAACGUUACAAGAUACAUACAAUUUUAAGUCAAUUUUAUUUGCAGGUCAAAUUGUCUCAAGUGCUUUAUUUUUACAUUUUUUGUCAUAUUUAAAAUAUGACAAAGUAAGAAAUUUCAAGCUCUUGACUAAUUCAAUUUAUUAUUUGUUUUUAAGAGACUAAUGGACUAUUAAAAUAAGUUUCUCCACUAAAACUAAUAAAUAUGAGGUCAAAUAGAAGGAAGAGUUUUAAAUACUGCAGUCCCACAACGACAAGAAUAAAGUUUGUCAACAAAAAGUAAAUCUGCUGGGGGAUUCCAUUAAAGUCCUAAUAAAGGAUAAUAAAGUGUGAUACUAAAGGUUUGUGGUGCUAA